UCUGGCACAUCCUCUGUGACUUGAUUGAUCCAGUCUUAGUCUGAGUUGAUCUAGUAUCCUGAAUCUACUAUUCUUCUCCAGUCUUCAGUCCUGAUUCAGGUUCCUUGCUACUCUUGUGUCUCCAGGUAUCUAGAGCCUCAAUCAAGUCCCUCAAAAUUCUCGUCACCUGAAUCUCAAGUCCAUAGAGACCUAUACACCACCUUCACCCUAGGACUACUCCUAUCCUAGUCCUAAGAUCCAAACCC
rnacentral:lncRNA from 1 species